CAGGAAGACUCCCUUCACUCGCCUAUGGACAUUUCCUCCUACGCACCUGUCUACAGGAAAUUGAAGAACGCUGUUGAGAGUUGCUGGGGCAUCACCGAACUCUAUUCCCCUCCUGCUAAGGCAGCUGUUUAGAGGCUCUCAUCAAUAAGGGAGGACUGUAAGGAAACCAGCAUGAAGAGCACGGCGGCCUCCCUCCCCUCCCGAUCCCACAAUAACACCCAUCAGCCAAUCUAAGCCAUCCAAUGACAAUGGAGGAGGGCCAGGACAAAUACCACAAAAACCAACAGUCAACAACAGCAACUGAGGAGAAAUGAAUACUGUAC